rnacentral:lncRNA from 1 species
AUUGUUGAAUCAAGCAAAACUGUUGUGAAACACAGGAUGUGAUUCUCUGAUUAACUCUUUUCUUUCUAGGACACAUGCAGUGUAUCAGAUCCUAGCAGCCUGUCAGUGCGUGUCCUCCAGAGCUUUCUAGCAUCCUGGAUUCUCUCCAGAAGCAUGGAAACAAGUUCAGCCAGACAUUACUGAGGCACAUUCCAGAAAUACUGUAUGGACAGAAGGGAAAAGUGCAAGGUUAUCGUUCGGGGGUUUUGGACACAUUCCCAUCUGCUGUCAAGAUUCUGAAACCAACAAGAGCCGCUGUGGUUGUCUAGACUGACCUCUCUAGGGGACUGGGGCAAAAUUCUUCCCACCCAAGCGCUGAAGGGGAUCGGAUGAAGUGCCGGUGGCUUAGAGCACUCGCCCGGAGGCAACAGGUAGUCCUUGAGCACUAGCUGACGUUAGGUAAUUUAAAUACAUACUAUUUUUCGUUAACAGUUCCAAUA